CACGGAGCCUGGCACUGAGUUGUUGUUUUUGCCGACACUGUGUUUCCUUAAUUAGAAGAUGUCAGGGUUCCUCAGUCUGUGGCUCGGAGUUGGGAUUUCCUAAAGAAGGACAGAUUAUCCCAUCACCCUCCACUGCCUGCUCAGGGGGAGUCUCUGGAUGGUCCCCAGGCACGAGGCGCUCCACAUGAUGGACAAGCGGUAUUCUGGGUCACCGAGGCCCUUCCACUCCCACGUGACCGGAAUAAAGGGCAGAGCAGGCGGAUUUGUAUGAAGGAUCUACUUAAGACCCCAAUUAACCAUGUCAGCAUUACAGCUUUCCAUCUACCUGAGAAAAAUGCUGUGGAAAAACUCUCACCAUUUUAACAACCCCAUUAAUAACACAGGCCUCAUUUGGGUAGUAUUUGCGGAAGAGAGUCUCAUUGAUUAAAGGCCCUCCAACCAAUUAUCUUUGGACUUCAUAGAACCCAUGAGUAAGUGAAAACUGAUUGCAAUUCUCUCUGAGCCAAUACAAUGGAAAGAAGACACUUGGAGUUGGCUUUUGCAAGCUUAUCUCUUUGAAAAAUAUGGAGCCCGGAGACAAAGUGACCUAGUCAGUGACAGUGCGCAUUUAUGUAUCCACAUCGGUAAGUUCCCAGCGACAAACGAUGUCACAGGGGUCAGCCCCCACCUUGGGCGGCGUGUAGCCUAUGAAUGGGGGUGGAAGGCAGGAAGAACAUCAAACCAAACCACAGUGAAGACACAGCUUCUGCUAUCAGCUCAGCCUGCACAGAGGCACAGACUGGAACACUGACUACCGCUGUCCUGACCCAAAGCAGAACCUAUCUUUUUUCCCCACUCCCUCCGCCAUUUUGGCUGAAUAACAUGAAACCGGUCUACCUACCUAGCUACCCAUCUAUGUACCUGCCCUAUCUAUAAGAUGAGAGAUAUAAAUGCAUUUCAUUUUUAUUUGUUCACAUCCUGCUCCCUUUAUGAGGUCCGGCUGUCCUGUUUUGGAAAUUACUUCACCUUCCUCUGAACAGCCCCAGUACCCUCUGUCUGCAGCCUUUGAUACACGAAUCUAUCUUUCUAUCUUAUGUUACAUUCGCUGAUAUUCAUGUCUUACUUCCGUCGGUAGAAUAUACCAUUUCUUGAGGAUAAAGAUCUGUAUUCCUUCUCUCUGUCUCACUCUCUCUCCACAGCACCUAAUUUUGUUUAUCUAGAAGGUGCCCAAUAAAUGGUGAAUGAAUGAUGGAUGAAUAAAUAACUUAGACUACAUAAAUACAACGUUUCACUUAUAAUAUGGAAAAGCCCAUGUUCCAUUCAUUCAGGUAAGAUGUGCGGUCCGAUAGAGAGAGGUUGGCCGGGGCGUGCGUGGAAAAACAAGUAUCAGGAGCUCAGAGAGAAGAAACCGCAAAAUUCCAAGCUCUCUUCUAUCUGCAGAUUCCCCUUCUCCUGAAAUUACUUCUUGCCACAAUGAUAUAGGGCUCACCCUGCUCACUGGGAUACACAAUCCAUCUUCAGAAGCCUGUAGUCACAGGAAAAAGGGGAGAGGAGGAAAAACAAUUCCCAAGUACAUUUCACCGUUGGUUUUGAUCCCCGGCCAAGGCCUUCCACCUGCAGAGAUCUCCCAACUAUCACAUUCCUACUGCUCUGGCCGAUAACGAAGAUAAUUGUUUCAUCCACUUUGUCAAAGCUGAAAUGAAAAGAGGGCAGAGCAAAAUGAUGCCGUCGUAAAUCACGGGGCUGAGACAGGAAAAGAGGGACAAGAUAGCGACUUCAUUAAGGGUUAUGUAUUGUGCCAUUAAGUUGGCGGGGGGUCACCUUUCAUGUCACACUGGCCUCCGUGAUGCAUUGCCAGCUCUUCUUUCCAAUAAAAUUAAACGGAGAUGUAAAACUGAUUAGGGCCAUGUUUGCUUCAGCCCGUGGCAAAGGGAAUGGUACAGGGAAUAAUUGAUAUAAGAUUGCAACUGAUGCAUAAUGGCAGCAAUUUCUCUUCCUGGUCAUUUCAUUGCUGACCUUGCC